GUGCACGCGCUGAUAAGCGGCAGGCAGCAGCCAUACAUAGUUUUAAAAUUCAACUCCAGAAUCCCUCGCAGAAGGCAAAGGGGCCUGCGGGGCAUGGGAGAGAGAAAUCACAUGGCUGCUCUUCAAAAGGGGACCUGUGUAAGGCAGCCGGCAAAGUGCGUGGGAUCACACUCAGAAUGCAGCAUCAGACGAGGAGAGAGAGAAAGGGAGAGAGAAAGAGAGAGUGUCGCAUGCCUUCCUGUUCCUGUACCACCCUCCAACCCCAGAGCCGCAGACUCAAGGCAGUUUCCAGAAUCAAACAAUUUCACGCAGCUACUGGAGGAGGAAAUGAACUGAGCCCAGAGCAAUAAUAAAAUUAUACAAAUGUUAUUACA